AGGAUAAACGCUGGCGGCGUGCCUAACACAUGCAAGUCGAACGAGAAAGUGGAGCAAUCCAUGAGUAAAGUGGCGCACGGGUGAGUAACACGUGACUAACCUACCUUUUAGUGGGGGAUAACCUAGGGAAACCUGGGCUAAUACCGCAUAACACUUACGAGUCAAAGCAGCAAUGCGCUGAAAGAGGGGGUCGCGGCCGAUUAGCUAGUUGGCGGGGUAAUGGCCCACCAAGGCAGUGAUCGGUA
rnacentral:rRNA from 1 species